CAGAGUUGCAAAACUCCCUAAACCAUUGUGAACCUUACCCAAACCGUUGCUUCGGCGGGCGGCGCACCGCGCCCCCCCGGCCCCUCGCGGGCGCCCGCCGGAGGUACCCAAACCAUUGAUACUUUAUGGCCUCUCUGAGUCUUCUGUACUGAAUAAGUCA
rnacentral:misc_RNA from 1 species